CUUUGUACUGUGGUUCAUUAAAUAGGAAUGUUGAUUUCCACACCAUGUUAAAUUUAAGGCCAACCAUGACAUAAAAAAUAGCUAUUAUGCUUGAUCUAUUUUAUUGUUAAGGAGAAAGGGAUGCCUUGAUUAUUGUAUUGGUUUUUUCCUUCUUUUUGUUCCAACAGAUUUGAAACUAAAGAGCUGAAAGAAGUUAACAACAUGAAGCAGAAAGUCCCAUGCAGGAUGAUGCUUCUCUACAGUGGGUGAUGAAGGCAUGCUGGUUUACAAACUCAGGAGAGGAACAAAGAAGAGAUAUUGACGGGAUCAUAUCUAGAGAUGCGGGCCUACUACACUUCAUACGAGCAAGUGUGCUAAUAUACAUACUUGGGUUAUCACUAC
rnacentral:lncRNA from 1 species